CACAAGCGGUGGAGCAUGUGGUUUAAUUCGACGCAACGCGAAAAGCCUUACCUGGGCUUGACAUGGAGAGAAUCUCCUGGAAACAGGAGAGUGCCUCGCAAGAGGAGCUCUCACACAGGUGCUGCAUGGCUGUCGUCAGCUCGUGCCGUGAGGUGUUGGGUUAAGUCCCGCAACGAGCGCAACCCCCAUCCCCAGUUGCCAUCAUUAAGUUGGGCACUCUGAGGAAACUGCCCGGGUUAACCGGGAGGAAGGCGGGGAUGACGUCAAGUCCUCAUGGCCCUUAUGUCCAGGGCUACACACGUGCUACAAUGGGCGGUACAAAGGGUCGCAAACCCGUAAGGGGGAGCUAAUCCACCAAAAGCCGUCCUCAGUUCGGAUUGAGGUCUGCAACUCGACCUCAUGAAGCUGGAAUCGCUAGUAAUCGCGGAUCAGCAUGCUGCGGUGAAUACGUUCCCGGGCCUU
rnacentral:rRNA from 1 species